GAUGAACGCUGGCUACAGGCUUAACACAUGCAAGUCGUGGGGAAACGGCAUUAUGUGCUUGCACAUUCUGGACGUCGGCCGGCGCACGGGUGAGUAUCGCGUAUCCAACCUGCCCCUUACUUGGGGAUACCCCGUUGAAAGACGGCCUAAUACCCGAUGUGUUUCAUUGACGGCAUCCGAUAUGAAACAAAGGUUUUCCGGUAAGGGAUGGGGAUGCGUCUGAUUAGCUUGUUGGCGGGGCAACGGCCCACCAAGGCGACGAUCAGUAGGGGUUCUGAGAGGAAGGUCCCCCACAUUGGAACUGAGACACGGUCCAAACUCCUACGGGAGGCAGCAGUGAGGAAUAUUGGUCAAUGGACGCAAGUCUGAACCAGCCAAGUAGCGUGCAGGAUGACGGCCCUAUGGGUUGUAAACUGCUUUUAUGUGGGAAUAAAGUGGCGCACGUGUGCGCCAUUGCAUGUACCUCAUGAAUAAGGACCGGCUAAUUCCGUGCCAGCAGCCGCGGUAAUACGGAAGGUCCGGGCGUUAUCCGGAUUUAUUGGGUUUAAAGGGAGUGUAGGCGGUCUGUUAAGCGUGUUGUGAAAUUUAGGUGCUCAACAUUUAACUUGCAGCGCGAACUGUCAGACUUGAGUACACGCAGCGCAGGCGGAAUUCAUGGUGUAGCGGUGAAAUGCUUAGAUAUCAUGAGGAACUCCGAUCGCGAAGGCAGCCUGCGGGAGUGUUACUGACGCUUAAGCUCGAAGGUGCGGGUACCGAACAGG
rnacentral:rRNA from 1 species